rnacentral:rRNA from 1 species
AUUGAACGCUGGCGGCAGGCUUAACACAUGCAAGUCGAGCGAGCGGCGGACGGGUGAGUAAUGUCUGGGAAACUGCCUGAUGGAGGGGGAUAACUACUGGAAACGGUAGCUAAUACCGCAUACCAUCAGAUGUGCCCAGAUGGGAUUAGCUAGUGGGGGGGGUAAUGGCUAACCAAGGCGACUAUCCCUUGCUGGUCUGAGAGGAUGACCAGCCAAACUGGAACUGAGACACGGUCCAGACUCCUACGGGAGGCAGCAGUGGGGAAUAUUGCACAAUGGGCGCAAGCCUGAUGCAGCCAUGCCGCGUGUGUGAAGAAGGCCUUCGGGUUGUAAAGCACUUUCAGCGGGGAGGCGUUACUCGCAGAAGAAGCACCGGCUAACUCCGUGCCAGCAGCCGCGGUAAUAC